rnacentral:ncRNA from 1 species
UACCACUUGGUAAAAAUUAGGCUGACAAAGGCGUGGGUUAGUAGGCAACGAAAAUCUGCGAGGCUACAAGAAA